UACAGAGGUCCCGAGCGUUGUUCGGAUUCAUUGGGCGUAAAGGGUGCGUAGGUGGCGCUGUAAGUGGGGUGUGAAAUCCCGGGGCUUAACUCCGGAACUGCAUUCCAUACUGCGGUGCUUGAGGACUGGAGAGGAGACUGGAAUUCCCGGUGUAGCGGUGAAAUGCGCAGAUAUCAGGAAGAACACCCGUGGCGAAGGCGGCUCUCUGGGACGGUACUGACGCUGAGACGCGAAAGCGUGGGGAGCGAACAGG
rnacentral:rRNA from 1 species